UACGGAGGGUGCAAGCGUUGUUCGGAAUUACUGGGCGUAAAGCGCGCGUAGGCGGUUUGCUAAGUCAGAUGUGAAAGCCCUCGGCUUAACCGGGGACGUGCAUUUGAAACUGGCAGACUUGAGUACUGGAGGGGGUGGUGGAAUUCCCGGUGUAGAGGUGAAAUUCGUAGAUAUCGGGAGGAAUACCGGUGGCGAAGGCGACCACCUGGCCAGAUACUGACGCUGAGGUGCGAAAGCGUGGGGAGCAAACAGG
rnacentral:rRNA from 1 species